GACGAACGCUGGUGGCGUGCUUAACACAUGCAAGUCGAACGGAAAGGCCCUGCUUUUGUGGGGUGCUCGAGUGGCGAACGGGUGAGUAACACGUGAGUAACCUGCCCUUGACUUUGGGAUAACUUCAGGAAACUGGGGCUAAUACCGGAUAGGAGCUCCUGCUGCAUGGUGGGGGUUGGAAAGUUUCGGCGGUUGGGGAUGGACUCGCGGCUUAUCAGCUUGUUGGUGGGGUAGUGGCUUACCAAGGCUUUGACGGGUAGCCGGCCUGAGAGGGUGACCGGCCACAUUGGGCCUGAGAUACGGCCCAGACUCCUACGGGAGGCAGCAGCGGGGAAUAUUGCACAAUGGGCGGAAGCCUGAUGCAGCAACGCCGCGUGCGGGAUGACGGCCUUCGGGUUGUAAACCGCUUUCGCCUGUGACGAAGCGUGAGUGACGGUAAUGGGUAAAGAAGCACCGGCUAACUACGUG
rnacentral:rRNA from 1 species